AACGAACGCUGGCGGCAGGCCUAACACAUGCAAGUCGAACGCCCUAGCAAUAGGGAGUGGCGCACGGGUGAGUAACGCGUGGGAACGUGCCUUUCAGUCUGGAAUAACUGCGGGAAACUGCAGCUAAUACCGGAUAUUCUCUACGGAGGAAAGAUUUAUCGCUGAAAGAUCGGCCCGCGUUAGAUUAGGUAGUUGGUGGGGUAAUGGCCUACCAAGCCUACGAUCUAUAGCUGGUCUGAGAGGAUGAUCAGCCACACUGGAACUGAGACACGGUCCGGACUCCUACGGGAGGCAGCAGUGGGGAAUAUUGGACAAUGGGCGCAAGCCUGAUCCAGCCAUGCCGCGUGAGUGACGAAGGCCUUAGGGUUGUAAAGCUCUUUUGUCAGGGAAGAUAAUGACGGUACCUGAAGAAUAAGACACGGCUAACUUCGUGCCAGCAGCCGCGGUAA
rnacentral:rRNA from 1 species